rnacentral:lncRNA from 1 species
AUUCUCUUAGUAAACAUCCGUUAAUGAAGGUAUUUCAAGAACACUAGCCGUGGUAAAACCACAGACCUAAAUGUCAAUUUCGGACACCUCUCCAAAUAUGCUUUGGGCUUAAGUCUCUUUUCGACCCCCUCCCCCUUUCAUUCGAAUAAUCAUAUUAAGGCAUUUGCAAUUAUUAAUUCCCUCACAUGCACAAGAUCGAUUGAGAAUUUUUUUUCUAGGCACCUUU